rnacentral:snRNA from 1 species
AUACUUACCUGGCAGGGGAGAUACCAUGAUCAGGAAGGUGGUUUUCCCAGGGCGAGGCUUAUCCAUUGCACUUCGGGGUGUGCUGACCCCUGCGAUUUCCCCAAAUGUGGGAAACUCGACUGCAUAAUUUGUGGUAGUGGGGGACUGCGUUCGCGCUUUCCCCUG